CAUUUGAGCAGGUUGGAAGGAUGUUGGUCCACUGCACGGUGGGGAGUCCACCGUGCACCGUGCAUUCGCUUGUGUGUAUAAUAUUUUACCCUAAAGACCUAAAUGCGCUAAAAAGACACAAGAGUAAAACGCAUUUUAUAAACGCGCUAAUAAUUAAAAGAGUCAUUGAUUUAACAAGGUUUGGUGGUAUCAUCCAACCUAUUAUUACACACAUUCGGUGGCUGACUACUACUCUACUUAUCACCUAUCACGUUUAAACAAAUAGAAGUAUGCCGCGCCAUCUUUAAACUAAGAGAGGGGGUUCGCUUAUUCUAAGAGAAGAGUAAUCCAACCAGUUCUCGUUAUUUCAUCAAACUAAUAAUUUCGAUCUAUCUUCAACUGUCAUCGCGAAUAUUUAAUAACAGUGGAUAACAACAACGUCACAACAACAGCAGCAACGGACAACGAUCUUUUAAAUAAUUUGGAAUACAUUAAAGUUCGGAAUUUUACGGUUGAUCUAAUUGCUUUUGUUAUUUAUUUACUUUUCUUUUUGUUUUCUUUUUUUUUUCUUUUUUUUUCUCGAGGAGAACUUAUAUUAUCAUACUUUCGCAUUCUUUAUACUCUUUUUUCUUCUUACUUUUUCGUUUUUUCUUUUUUUUUUUUGCUAACGGUGAGAGAAGGUGGAACGGGAGUUGUCAAGGUGUCUCGAUCAAGACAGUGCCAAGAAAAAUUUGGAACAAUGUUCGUGUGAAUUCGUCUAAUCCCAUUUGAAGGAUAUUCGAAUAUCAACAUUUUACCGACGGUGACCAUCGGUCGUUCUUAUGUGAACAAUUUGUCAAUGUAGUAGAUAUCAUAUUCGUUUGAAUUUUGUUUCCCCUAUAUAGUUUUUACGUUUGUGGAAUAACAAUGACGAUGUUUAUUCCCGUGAAACAUCCACCCUUCAGUUAUUAAAUAUAUAUAUUAUUUGUGUAUAAACAAAACUCAAUUCGAAUCGAAAAAAGGAAAAAAAGGAAAAUAAUAAUAUCACGAUACCAACGGAAUUAUUGUUGAAAAUCGUUUUCUAAAUUAAUAACGAGUGUCUACGUUUAAAAAAAAUAAUAAUAAGAAGAAGAAGAAGAAGAAAAAGAAGAAGAAGAAGAUGUUUUAAAAUUUUCAACACAACUAUGAAGUCGAAGAGUUUGUUAAGGAACAACAAGGAAGGUUGUGGAUUUAGGGUUUCUUCGUUUUGCUCGUUUUCCGAAGUGUGUCAAGCACCGACGACGACGAAUACGACGACUACGACGACUACGACGACGACGACGGCUUGAUAAAAGUGCACUCGCCACUUUUGGGAAGUCGUCGACGACGGUGUGUGCUGAAAUCGCUUUGCAACUUGCAAGGGAGACUAAUUGGUCCUUGCCUGUUCCAAGGCGCCAAUGAGAAGCCAGCUUUUAUUCAAGCAAACUUUGGUUCAACAUCGGAUACCACCCAAGAUCUGAAUAAUCCUCAGUAUUACUAUCAUCAUCCUCAUCAUUAUCAUUAUUAUCAUCAAAA
rnacentral:lncRNA from 1 species